GCAAGGUCGAGAAGGCGCCCCAUGGU
rnacentral:piRNA from 1 species